GAUGAAGAACGUAGCAAAAUGCGAUAAGUAAUGUGAAUUGCAGAAUUCAGUGAAUCAUCGAAUCUUUGAACGCACAUUGCGCCCGCCAGUAUUCUGGCGGGCAUGCCUGUUCGAGCGUCAUUUCAACCAUCAAGCCCCAGGCUUGUGUUGGAGCCCUGCGGCUGCCGCAGCCUCCCAAAACCAGUGGCGGGCUCGCUAUCACACCGAGUGCAGUAGUUUACUCUUCGCUCAGGGCGUGUGGCGGGUGCUAGCCGUGAAACCCCCAACUUCUCAAGGUUGACCUCGGAUCAGGUAGGAAUACCCGCUGAACUUAAGCAUAUCAAUAAGCGGAGGA
rnacentral:misc_RNA from 1 species